AGUGAGGGUCCAGUAUUUGCCAGCGGCGGUGCGGAAAGCACACUUCCUGUUCUCACGGCAAAUCUCCACUUGGAAGACUUCCUGGUCACCUUCUUCAUCUUGAUUGGCGGACAGGUCCAUACCUGAACACAAAAGAGGUGGCGAACGUCACAUGACUAAAUCAGGAAGUCUUGGCCCUGAUUAUGACCUUUGAGGCGCAGCAGACAAGCCUGACUGCUGGAAGAGGGUGGAGGAGGUGCACCACAAGGGAAAUUAUGCAAGAGGUGCCAGGAAGGAAGGAAGGAAGGAAGGAAGGAAGGAGACAACCUUUUGUCUCCAACUUGAGCAGAUGGAACAACAACUCAAAGAGAAGUGAAAGCCUUGAGGUCUCACACGCCUACAAUCGCACUCAAGACGCCGCUGCAGGACCCUUAUGCACGACUCAAGGUACACAGGAAAACUCGCACACAACAAAUUGACGUGCGAGUCAUUUCAUAGUCCUGCAGGGACUUGCAAUUGCAUCUCAUUUGGGCAAGUCUUGCAUUCCUCACACUGUUGUCAUGUGACAAACCUAAAGAUUUCCUUUUAUGGAUGUCAGAUUUAACAAAAGGGCGUGGCCUCGCUGAUUCACAUCCGGGUCAACAAAUUAAUAGACAACAAAGUGCAAAGUUGCAGAGACACACACUGCGAGGUUUCGCACAUCUUUGCUAAUCUCAACACAAAUCAACAAAGACAAAGUGACAUCACAUCGUCCUCCUCACUCACAACUUGCAAGCAUAAAAGCGGCAUGAUCUUUGCCCUGUUUUUUUCAUUGAGGUCAAGACUGUCUCACACAGAAAGAAUUUCAAAUUAAGCACGAGUCAAGAUUGAAAAGCACAAGACAGCAUGAAUAUGAUCACAUUGUUUCAAAAUGGUUACGCUGGCCUUGCAUUACUGUCAGCCACUAAUGCAUCUUUCCAGCACAAAUUGACCCCUUGUACUUUCUCACAAUAAAAUCUCAGCCACUAUAACCAAGCUAACGUGACUUUUUUUUUUUUUAGAUGCCAACUUUAAUUUGAUCUUUUUUCUUACAUCAAGGUCACAACUUCCACAGGCAAUCAGUUACAUGACUCCAAUCGCAAUGUUCUAUUGCUCAAUUCAGACUUUGUCUCCUCCUCAGCUGUAAAAAUGUAGCUUUUGUGUAAUCCACUCAACUAAAAUGGCUGCUGUUAUUAAAUCAACACGUGACUUUGAAUCACAUAAAGGAUGAAUGUCAUGGGGAGAUUUAUUUUUUAUUUUUUAUUAUUAGACAAGCUUAGCAUUUGAGCAGAAAAAGAUGUCGAAAAUGCUGGAAUGACACGCUUUGCUCGGAGGCAGGGCGCCGGUUCUCCACUUCCGCUUUAGGACCGCUGCUGCCAUUUCCUUAUAUGGCAGGCACAGUCAGCCAAUCAGAGCACAGCGUCCUGUUCAUUCAAACUGCAAAAGUUGAGAACCGCAAACCGAAACAACUGGCGUUGCUUUUUAUGAUGCGUUCAACGUACCUCGGAAAUCGGGACUUUCUGAUCUUAGCGUUUACGCCCUGCGUUUUGCAGAAGCUGGAUAUUAUGCAACACAUUAUAUGUACAUUGUGAAUAUUUGUGAACAAAUUAAAUCGAUGAAAGUUCAAAUAUACAUUUUGUUUAUCUAUUUAUGACGUGUGGAUGGCCCAUCAAGCUGAAGUUAUGUAAAGGAACUUUGGGCAGGGUGGGGGUUGUUAGUGAUUGUUUGAUUGCUUUAUUUACAAGGCAAGGGCCUAUGAUGCUUUGAAAAGUGAACAGCACACUGGAUGGUGUCACUUGCUGAUUGGUGCUGCUGAACAAGGCAUGCUGAUGAUGACAUGUUGAUCAAGAUCAAGAAGGAAUGCUAGCAUGUGGAAAAAAAAAAAAAAAGUAUUUCCAAUGGAGACAGAUGGCAGAGAAUACAUAGGCAUCUUGUUCACCACACCAUGCUGUGUGUGUGUG